rnacentral:rRNA from 1 species
UACGUAGGGGGCAAGCGUUGUCCGGAAUCAUUGGGCGUAAAGGGUGCGUAGGCGGUCUUGUAAGUCUGGGGUGAAAGUCCAGGGCUCAACCCUGGGAUUGCCUUGGAAACUGUGAGACUUGAGUGCUGGAGAGGCAAGGGGAAUUCCACGUGUAGCGGUGAAAUGCGUAGAUAUGUGGAGGAAUACCAGUGGCGAAGGCGCCUUGCUGGACAGUGACUGACGCUGAGGCACGAAAGCGUGGGGAGCAAACAGG